rnacentral:rRNA from 1 species
AUUGAACGCUGGCGGCAUGCCUUACACAUGCAAGUCGAACGGCAGCACGGGAGCAAUCCUGGUGGCGAGUGGCGAACGGGUGAGUAAUAUAUCGGAACGUGCCCAGUCGUGGGGGAUAACGUAGCGAAAGCUACGCUAAUACCGCAUACGAUCUACGGAUGAAAGCGGGGGAUCGCAAGACCUCGCGCGAUUGGAGCGGCCGAUAUCAGAUUAGCUAGUUGGUGGGGUAAAAGCUCACCAAGGCGACGAUCUGUAGCUGGUCUGAGAGGACGACCAGCCACACUGGAACUGAGACACGGUCCAGACUCCUACGGGAGGCAGCAGUGGGGAAUUUUGGACAAUGGGCGCAAGCCUGAUCCAGCAAUGCCGCGUGCAGGAUGAAGGCCUUCGGGUUGUAAACUGUCUUUUGUACGGAACGAAACGGUGAGCUCUAAUAAAGCUUGCUAAUGACGGUACCGUAAGAAUAAGCACCGGCUAACUACGUGACC